rnacentral:rRNA from 1 species
AUCAACUUUCGAUGGUAGGAUAGCCUACCAUGGUGGUAACGGUAACGGGGUGUUAGGGCACGACACCGGAGAGGGAGCCUGAGAAACCGGCUACCACAUCCAAAGGAUGGCAGCAGGCGCGCAAAUUACCCCAAUCCCGACACGGGGAGGUAGUGACAAUAAAUAACAAUACGGGGUCCUUUGGGUCUCGUAAUUGGAAUGAGUACAAUUUAAAUCUCUUAACGAGGAACAAUUGGAGGGCAAGUCUGGUGCCAGCAGCCGCGGUAAUUCCAGCUCCAAUAGCGUAUAUUAAAGUUGUUGCAGUUAAAAAGCUCGUAGUUGAAUUUCGGGGUCAGUAGGUCGGUCGUGCCACUGGUAUGAACUGGUUUCACUGAUUCCUCCCUCUUGUAGAACCGUGAUGCCAUUAAUUUGGUGUUGCGGGGAAACAGGACUGUUACUUUGAAAAAAUUAGAGUGUUUAAAGCAAGCUAACGCUUGAAUACAUUAGCAUGGAAUAAUGGAAUAGGACGUCUGUCUUAUUUUGUUGGUUUCUAGGAUGGACGUAAUGAUUAAUAGGGAUAGUUGGGGGCAUUAGUAUUCAAUUGUCAGAGGUGAAAUUCUUGGAUUUAUUGAAGACUAACUACUGCGAAAGCAUUUGCCAAGGAUGUUUUCAUUAAUCAAGAACGAAAGUUAGGGGAUCGAAGACGAUCAGAUACCGUCGUAGUCUUAACCAUAAACUAUGCCGACUAGGGAUCGGAUGAUGUUAAUUUUUUAAUGACUCAUUCGGCACCUUACGGGAAACCAAAGUGUUUGGGUCC